UGGUAGGACUUCAUCUAUAUAAUGCUCACC
rnacentral:piRNA from 1 species